UGGAGACAGAGCGGAGGGUAUCCGGGGAGGACAGGUGGUGCAUGGUUGUCGUCAGCUCGUGUCGUGAGAUGUUGGGUUAAGUCCCGCAACGAGCGCAACCCUUAUUGCUAGUUACCAUCAUUGAGUUGGGGACUCUAGCGAGACUGCCAGCGAUAAGCUGGAGGAAGGUGGGGAUGACGUCAAAUCAUCAUGCCCCUUAUGACCUGGGCUACAAACGUGAUACAAUGGCUGGAACAAAGGGAGGCGAAGGGGUGACCUGGAGCGAAACCCAAAAAUACAGUCUCAGUUCGGAUUGAAGUCUGCAACUCGACUUCAUGAAGUCGGAAUCGCUAGUAAUCGCGGAUCAGAACGCCGCGGUGAAUACGUUCUCGGGGUUU
rnacentral:rRNA from 1 species